CGAGUCCGAGUCUCCACGGAGACGAAGUGGCGGUCAUCCAGCUUCCUAGAAAAGCUCUAACCACGUUAAUCUUUAGUUGCCUGUACCCGAAACCGACACAGGUAGGGGGGUAGAGAAUACCAAGGGGCGCGAGAUAACUCUCUCUAAGGAACUCGGCAAAAUGACCCCGUAACUUCGGGAGAAGGGGUACCACUGAGAAGUGGUCGCAGUGAAGAGGCCCAGGCGACUGUUUACCAAAAACACAGGUCUCCGCCAAGUCGCAAGACGAAGUAUGGGGGCUGACGCCUGCCCAGUGCCGGAAGGUUAAGGAAGUGGGUUAGGGAUUCGUCCCGAAGCUGACGACUGAAGCCCCGGUGAACGGCGGCCGUAACUAUAACGGUCCUAAGGUAGCGAAAUUCCUUGUCGGGUAAGUUCCGACCCGCACUAAAGGCGUAACGAUCUGGGCGCUGUCUCGGAGAGAGGCUCGGCGAAAUAGGAUUGUCUGUGAAGAUACGGACUACCUGCACCUGGACAGAAAGACCCUAUGAAGCUUUACUGUAGCUUGGAAUUGGGUUCGGGCUUGGUUUGCGCAGGAUAGGUGGGAGGCGAAGAAGAUUUGCUUGUGGGUGAAUCUGAGCCAACGGUGAGAUACCACUCUAACCAGGCUAGAAUUCUAACUUCAACCCGUCAACCGGGGGAAGGACAGUUUCAGGUGGGCAGUUUGACUGGGGCGGUCGCCUCCUAAAAGAUAACGGAGGCGCACAAAGGUUCCCUCAGGCUGGUUGGAAAUCAGCCAACGAGUGCAAAGGCAGAAGGGAGCUUGACUGCGAGACCUACAAGUCAAGCAGGGUGGAAACACGGUCUUAGUGAUCCGACGGCACCGAGUGGAAGGGCCGUCGCUCAACGGAUAAAAGUUACUCUAGGAUAACAGGCUGAUCUCCCCCAAGAGUUCACAUCGACGGGGAGGUUUGGCACCUCGAUGUCGGCUCAUCGCAACCUGGGGCGGAAGUACGUCCCAAGGGUUGGGCUGUUCGCCCAUUAAAGCGGUACGUGAGCUGGGUUCAGAACGUCGUGAGACAGUUCGGUCCAUAUCCGGUGUAGGCGCAAGAACAUUGAGAGGAGUCUUCCUUAGUACGAGAGGACCGGGAAGAACGCACCGCUGGUGUACCUGUUAUCGUGCCAACGGUAAACGCAGGGUAGCCAAGUGCGGAGUGGAUAACCGCUGAAAGCAUCUAAGUGGGAAGCCCACCUCAAGAUGAGUGUUCUCAUGGAGUAAUCCAGUAAGGUCACGGGAAGACGACCCGUUGAUAGGCGGUAGGUGGAAGUUCAGCAAUGGAUGAAGCCGAGCCGUACUAACAGACCGAGGGCUUGACC
rnacentral:rRNA from 1 species